rnacentral:rRNA from 1 species
AAAUUGAAGAGUUUGAUCAUGGCUCAGAUUGAACGCUGGCGGCAGGCCUAACACAUGCAAGUCGAACGGUAACAGGAAGCAGCUUGCUGCUUCGCUGACGAGUGGCGGACGGGUGAGUAAUGUCUGGGAAACUGCCUGAUGGAGGGGGAUAACUACUGGAAACGGUAGCUAAUACCGCAUAAUGUCGCAAGACCAAAGAGGGGGACCUUCGGGCCUCUUGCCAUCGGAUGUGCCCAGAUGGGAUUAGCUUGUUGGUGGGGUAACGGCUCACCAAGGCGACGAUCCCUAGCUGGUCUGAGAGGAUGACCAGCCACACUGGAACUGAGACACGGUCCAGACUCCUACGGGAGGCAGCAGUGGGGAAUAUUGCACAAUGGGCGCAAGCCUGAUGCAGCCAUGCCGCGUGUAUGAAGAAGGCCUUCGGGUUGUAAAGUACUUUCAGCGGGGAGGAAGGGAGUAAAGUUAAUACCUUUGCUCAUUGACGUUACCCGCAGAAGAAGCACCGGCUAACUCCGUGCCAGCAGCCGCGGUAAUACGGAGGGUGCAAGCGUUAAUCGGAAUUACUGGGCGUAAAGCGCACGCAGGCGG